UCGUAACAAGGUUUCCGUAGGUGAACCUGCGGAAGGAUCAUUAUCGUAUAACCGAGGCACAAGGGCUGUCGCUGACCGUCAAGGUCGUGCACGCCCAAGUGCUCUCACACAAUCCAUCUCACCCCUUUGUGCAUCAUCGCGUGGGUCCCCUCGUUUAGAGGGGGCUUGCGUUUUUAUACACACACCCUUUUGGUAGAAGAAUGUCCUUUUUGCUUUGCGAUGACUCGCAAUAAAUACAACUUUCAACAACGGAUCUCUUGGCUCUCGCAUCGAUGAAGAACGCAGCGAAAUGCGAUACGUAAUGUGAAUUGCAGAAUUCAGUGAAUCAUCGAAUCUUUGAACGCACCUUGCGCCCCUUGGCAUUCCGAGGGGCACACCCGUUUGAGUGUCGUGACAAUCUCAAAAAAGCCUUUUCUUGAUCUCUUGAUUGGGGAAGGCCUUUUUGGACUUUGGAGGUUUCUGCUGGCCUACCCUUGUAAGCUGGCUCCUCUUAAAUGAAUUAGUGGGGUUCUCUUUGCAGAUCCUUGACGUGAUAAGAUGUUUCUGCGUCUUGGGUUCUGCUCUGUCCUUUGGAAACCUGCUUCUAACCGUCUUACCACAAAGACAGUGUUCGAGUUUUUCUCGACCCAUGAACCUUGACCUCAAAUCGGGUGAGACUACCCGCUGAACUUAAGCAUAUCAAUAAGCGGAGGAAAAGAAACUAACAAGGAUUCCCCUAGUAACUGCGAGUGAAGCGGGAAAAGCUCAAAUUUAAAAUCUGGUGGCCUUUGGCCAUCCGAGU
rnacentral:rRNA from 1 species